ensembl:ncRNA lncRNA:CR45720 long non-coding RNA:CR45720
GCCUUUCUGCUCCGGCACUGCUAUUUCAGGAGGCAGGACCCAUCCAAGGAGCCCAACCGAAGGAGCCACUCAUGCUGGUUUCUGGGCUGGCUGUCCUUAUUGAAUUGCUGCAAUUGGACUCCUCAAUGUGCACAUCUUCUCUGGCCUGGAUUCAUCCGCUUUCGUCUGGUAUUCUUGCCCUGGAAAAUGGGUGGAAGGAGCAAACGAACGGAAGACAGAGGGCCAGCGAAAGCCAUGAAAAAUACAGUAAACCCGCUUUAUUUUCACAUUUUAUAAAUUUUUCCCUUUCGCUGCUCCGCAUCCUUGCCUUGUUUGCGGUGUGCCCAGUUCUCUGCAGAGGGAUCCUCUGGUGCAUUCCGCUGUUGAAAGGUAAAAGCACCGACAGGUGGAGGGGUUUUUGCACCGACUGAAGCGAAAGACACGCGAUGUAUAGUAAACUGAGCCAGCAGCCGACAACCGACAAGCAACGAAAAUAGUUAUAUAUAUAUAUAUAUAUUUUUUUUUUCGGGGGCAUCUCGGGGAAAAUAGCACAAGCGGCAGAGCGGAAACGGAAAAGAAAAAUAUUGUUUCAAUUCAAUUGAAGCUAAAAUUGCAUGAUUGCAACCAAACCAGACGAAGGAGGAACCGAACCGGAUGCCAAGGAGAUGGCGCAAUGUGCCAGUUUCCAGUUCGGAUACCCCCACUUUUCACUCACAUGAGCCACUCUCGAGUUUAAACAAUAAACAGCGGAAAAUACAAACGAGGGACACUGGGUAAUCCCUGUUCAAGGGUUAAUAGGAUUCGUAUCCUCGUCCAAAAUCGAUUGAU